AUAGCUUCACUUUGUGAAUACAGUUCUGCUUGCACUAUUACAAUGAUGUUUUUUUUUAUAGGCAACAAUGAUGUUUGAAGUGGAGCUAGAAAAUUGUUCCUCUCGCUAUCCUUUGAGACAUUUUGCGUUUCAUCUGGACGUUGGGGAACUACAUUG